UACGGGGGGGGCAAGCGUUGUUCGGAAUUACUGGGCGUAAAGGGGACGUAGGCGGCCAACUAAGUCGGAUGUGAAAUCCCCAGGCUUAACCUGGGAACUGCAUCCGAUACUGGAUGGCUUGAAUCCGGGAGAGGGAUGCAGAAUUCCAGGUGUAGCGGUGAAAUGCGUAGAUAUCUGGAGGAAUACCGGUGGCGAAGGCGGCAUCCUGGACCGGCAUUGACGCUGAGGGAGCGAAAGCCAGGGGAGCAAACAGG
rnacentral:rRNA from 1 species